ACUCCUACGGGAGGGCAGCAGUAGGGAAUCUUCCACAAUGGGCGCAAGCCUGAUGGAGCAACACCGCGUGAGUGAAGAAGGGUUUCGGCUCGUAAAGCUCUGUUGUUAAAGAAGAACACGUAUGAGAGUAACUGUUCAUACGUUGACGGUAUUUAACCAGAAAGUCACGGCUAACUACGUGCCAGCAGCCGCGGUAAUACGUAGGUGGCAAGCGUUAUCCGGAUUUAUUGGGGCGUAAAGAGAGUGCAGGCGGUUUUCUAAGUCUGAUGUGAAAGCCUUCGGCUUAACCGGAGAAGUGCAUCGGAAACUGGAUAACUUGAGUGCAGAAGAGGGUAGUGGAACUCCAUGUGUAGCGGUGGAAUGCGUAGAUAUAUGGAAGAACACCAGUGGCGAAGGCGGCUACCUGGUCUGCAACUGACGCUGAGACUCGAAAGCAUGGGUAGCGAACAGGAUUAGAUACCCUGGUAGGAUAGCG
rnacentral:rRNA from 1 species